rnacentral:rRNA from 1 species
UACAGAAUCCUCAAGCGUUACCCGGAUUUAUUGGGCGUAAAGGGUCCGUAGGUGGUAAAGUAAGUUGAAAGUUAAAACUCAUCGGCUUAACCUUUGAGGUGCUUUCAAUACUGCUAUACUAGAGGAUGUUAGGGGUUAACGGAACCGACGGAGUAGGGGUGAAAUCCGUUGAUAUCGUCGGGAACACCAAAAGCGAAGGCAGUUAACUAGGACAAUCCUGACACUGAGGGACGAAAGCGUGGGGAGCAAAAAGGAUUAGAUACCCUUGUAGUCCACGCUGUAAACGAUGAUUACUGGCUAUGUGAAGUGUCGACCCUUCACGUGGCGAAGCUAACGCGUUAAGUAAUCCGCCUGGGAAGUACGGUCGCAAGACUAAAACUCAAAGGAAUAGACGGGGACUCACACAAGCGGUGGACCAUGUGGCUUAAUUCGACAACAAACGAAGAACCUUACCAGGUCUAGAAAUCUGCAUGAAAGCCCUAAGAAACUAGGGCCCCUCACAAGGCAUGCAGACAGGUGCUGCAUGGUUGUCGUCAGUUCGUGUCUUGAGACGUACCGUUAAUUCGGGUAACGAACGCAACCCUUGCCCUGUGUUUUAAAUGUCACAGGGGACUGCCCGAGAUAAUUGGGAGGAAGGCGAGGAUGACGCCAAAUCAGCAUGGCCCUUUGAUGACCUGGGCCGCACACGUGGUACAAUGGCUGGUACAAUGCGCUUCGAUGCCGUAAGGCGGAGAUAAUCGCACCAAAACCAGUCUCAGUUCGGAUUGAGGUCUGAAACCCGACCUCAUGAAGCUGGAAUCGCUAGUAAUCGCCAAUCAGCUACGUGGCGAUGAAUACGUUCCUGAGUCUUGUACUCACCGCCCGUCAAGCCAAGCGAGCUGGGGAUAGCCGAAGUUCCUCGCAAGAGGGCCUAAGCUAGAUUCAGUAAGAGGGGCU